rnacentral:misc_RNA from 1 species
UCUCCGUUGGUGAACCAGCGGAGGGAUCAUUACCGAGUUAUCAACUCCCAAACCCCUGUGAACAUACCCAACGUUGCUUCGGCGGGACCGCCCCGGCGCCCUCGGCGUCCCGGAACCAGGCGCCCGCCGGAGGACCCAAACUCUUGUUUAAACCAUAGUGGCGUAUUCUGAGUCUCACAAGAAAAAUGAAUCAAAACUUUCAACAACGGAUCUCUUGGCUCUG